AGGGACUGUUAAACCAGCUGCAAGAAGAUAUAUUCAUGCAAUCUUUGUAUUAAGAGUCUCUCUGGCUGGGUGCGGUGACUCAGACCUGUAAUCCCAGCACUUUGGGAGGCCAAGGCCAGUGGAUUGCUUGAGCCCUGGAGUUCAAGACCAGCCUGGGGAACAUAGUGAGACCCAGUCUGUAUUUUAAAAGUUAAAAAAAAAAAAAAGCCUCUAAGCUAAGUGGACCUUUGAUCCCCUCACUCAAAUUUGACAGUUCUCCAUUAUUCAUAAAUGAGGUAAUAGUUGUUGGAGACGGUCUUCUCUGAAUGCAAGACUAGUACUUUGGCCUGAUUAUAGAACUUCCUGCCGUCCUAAGGAGUCAUCCCAGGUGUCCACUAUAUCUUUUUCAGCAUUGAGUACCAGCACAGUCACAUGUAGGCUUUAUCCCACAGUGAAGACUUGGCAUCACUCAGAAUGAUGCCACAGGUCCUAGGCCUUUUCCACACUGGGCUCACUUCACCAACUCGCAAAUGCUCAUCCACACCUGGUCCACCUGGACUACCUCCUUAUCUGUAGCCCUUUCACCUCUGUGUCCAUAGAAAUGUCUUACCUAAGCUCUGAAAUCUAAACAUUCAGAGAGCACCUUGAUGCUUGAGAGCAUCUACACAGAGAUGAACCUUUAAGAUCUAUGGUUUAAAACAAUUGAAUUCCAAGAUGUUGCCCCUUACAGACUGACCUGCCUGAUUAUUUCCUGUUGUUUAUGUACAUUGAUUAUUAUCAAAAACUUAAUACUUUAUUUUUUUUGAGACGGAGUCUCGCUCUGUCGCCCAGGCUGGAGUGCAGUGGUGCGAUCUCAGCUCACUGCAAGCUUCUCCUCCCGGGUUCACGCCAUGCUCCUGCCUCAGCCUCCCGAGUAGCUGGGACUACAGGCGCCCACCACGGCGCCUGGCAAAUUUUUUUUUAUUUUUAGCAGAGACAGGUUUUCACCGUGUUAGCCAGGAUGGUGUCAAUCUCCUGACCUCGUGAUCCGCCCGCCUCGGCCUCCCAAAGUGCUGGGAUUACAGGCGUGAGCCACCGCGCCCAGCCAAAAACUUAAUAGUUUUUAAUAAAUAUUGUCAGGUUUUUUUUUUUUUUUUUUUUUGAGACGGAGUUUUGCUCUUGUCACCCAGGCUGGAAUGCAAUGGCACGAUCUUGGCUCACCGCAC
rnacentral:lncRNA from 10 species